GAUGAACGCUGGCGGCAUGCUUAACACAUGCAAGUCAAACGGAAUGUCCGUGUUUAUCUUGGGUUUGCGUGGGGGACGGGUGAGUAACGCGUAAGGAACUCGCCUCCCUGCCAUGGAGAACACUUGAAAACAAUUGCGCAUACCUCGUAUUAUAAUUCUAGCUCCUCCUAUAGUUAUGAAAGCUAUAAGCGCUGUGGGAGGGCUUUGCGGCUCAUUAGCUUGUUGGGGGGGUAGUGGCUUACCAAGGCGAUGAUGGGUAGCCGGCCUGAGAGGGUGACCGGCCAAAAGGGGACUGAGACAGGGCCCUUACUCAUACGGGAGGAAGAAGGGGGGAAUAUGGGAAAAGGGACCGAGAGUCUGAUAGAGAAAUUCUGUGUGGAAGAUGAAGUUUUUCGGAAUGUAAAGUUCUUGCAGUUGGGAAGAAACAAAUGACGGUACCAACAGAAGAAGUGACGGCUAAAUACGUG
rnacentral:rRNA from 1 species